UGUGAGUUGCCAACCACUAGAAGCCUGUGGCAGUGUUUAAAUCUACAGCAAACAUGCUAACAAUUGGUUGAAGACAGGAUUAUGUAAUUCCACCUUGAUGUUCCUUUCUGUGGAGCUUACAUCAUUGUCAAAGAAACAUAAAGGCAGAACUGGGUACACUGUGUGAUUAAAGAGAGACAGGGCCUCCAACAUGCUCAAAGUAUCCAUUAAGACAUGCAACCUUCCAUGACCAUACGAAGACUCACUGGGGAUAUGCUGAUGACACAUGCAAGGAUCAUGCUGACAGUUUCUUCUGGCAUGCUCAGUGACUGGUUCUGCCAUGGUUCCUUCUCUCUGUCCUGAGUCUGCUGACUGGGUUGCUGUCUGCUGUACUUGCAUUUCCCUGAUACUACCAGCUUUGCUGCUCCUGUUGUACUUCUCUCUUCCAAAUACUGCUGCUGUUGCUCUCCCUCUUCCCAAGGAUGAGGGAAUGUAGAGUUUAUAAUUAGGAGAAACUUUAUAUGAUCAAGUCUAAUCUACCAUUUGAUGCAGAAUUCCCUCUUGAGUACUCCUGUCAAACAAUAAUUUCUGUUUUGCAUGAACAGUUUUAGUGCCGAAGAAAGUACUACUACACUCCAUGGAGCAUACCCCACUAGAAUGAAACAUGGAUUCUACUAUGAGCCUUGGGCAGCAAAAUGAAGUGAAGAGCUGGAAAUUUGCAACAUGCCUAACAUUUGGUGCUGAAAUCCAGGACAGGGGAUCUUCUACAGGAGACCAAACCCCUGUCCUUACUCCUCCUUGUGCUCCCUCUAUGAAGAGAUCUGCCUACAACCUAGGCUCACCAGAUCAGCCCACGGAUCCACUCACCAUCUUUGGAUCAGACUAUACGCACAUUGGUAAUUUACACUAA
rnacentral:lncRNA from 13 species